GGUCCUUCCACUCAACCAAAGCAGUGAAACUAAGGGAGUUAGAUAAAGCGAUGCCAAUUUUGAUUGCUCUUUCCGAAAUUGUUGCUGGAGAAGAAGGGUAUAAUGCAAGGAGAAGGAGCUUAAUUGCUAAAGACUAUAUUAGAAGUCUUUCAUUGGACAUCUGAGAUUGAGUUGUCAACGACAAAUAACUCAAAAUCUUCAAUCACAUGCAUCUCCUCCGGUAUGUGAAAGCGAUCU